UACGUAGGGCGCAAGCGUUGUCCGGAAUUAUUGGGCGUAAAGAGCUCGUAGGUGGCUGGUCGCGUCUGCCGUGAAAGCCCGCAGCUUAACUGCGGGUCUGCGGUGGAUACGGGCUGGCUAGAGGUAGGUAGGGGCAAGUGGAAUUCCUGGUGUAGCGGUGAAAUGCGCAGAUAUCAGGAGGAACACCGGUGGCGAAGGCGGCUUGCUGGGCCUUACCUGACGCUGAGGAGCGAAAGCGUGGGGAGCGAACAGG
rnacentral:rRNA from 1 species